CAGUAGCCACGGGAAUACGUAGGGUGCAAGCGUUAAUCGGAAUUACUGGGCGUAAAGCGUGCGCAGGCGGUUCUAUAAGACAGAUGUGAAAUCCCCGGGCUCAACCUGGGAACUGCAUUUGUGACUGUAGAGCUGGAGUGCGGCAGAGGGGGAUGGAAUUCCGCGUGUAGCAGUGGAAUGCGUAGAUAUGCGGAGGAACACCGAUGGCGAGGGCAAUCCCCUGGGCCUGCACUGACGCUCAUGCACGAAAGCGUGGGGAGCAAACAGGAUUAGAUACCCCCGUAGUCCCUGUCUCUUAUAC
rnacentral:rRNA from 1 species